UUAAAAAGACAAAAACAGAUUUGGUGUCUUACAUAAGGUUUUAACCAGUAUAAUAUUUGGAUACUGAAUAAGGGAAAAUAUGAUGAAGCUCAAAUGUUACACCUUGCAAGAUAAUCAGUCCUAAAAUCACCUUGCUGUAAAGUAUCUUGCUGUUACUAGUUAGCUGUAAUACCCAAGUGAUCAAAAAAAUGUUUCCUGUUAUAAGAAUUCUUGUGAGCAAGACUGCCAUGCAACUUUACAGUAACCUUGAGCAAAUCAGAAGCAAGAAGCAUAAUUCAACAAAACCUGAAGGACAAGUGGCAGAAAGAAGCAAUCAUAAGAUUCAAAGGAAGGUUGGAGAAGGAGAAACAAGAGAAAAGAGAAAGAUUUGGACAACCUGGUCUCAACAAAACACUAUUCAGAAUACGUCAACAUGAUGUCAACGUUGUGGUGACAGUGAGCCAACAUGUAAUUUUAGUAUGUCAGAGACAUGGGAGAGAGAGAUGUAUAGAAGAAGAAUUUAGAAAAAAUAAAGUAACAUUUAACGUGAUAAAUAUACUGCAAAAAAAAAAAAAAAAAAAAAUCAGGAAGUAAAAUGAUCAAAAUUCUUAUUAAGUUCUAUUAGUAGGGUAUGAUUAUCAAGAGUACAUUCACAAAUAAACAUUUUGUUCCACACCAGUAAGUGGCGGUAAUGCACACUGUCUGAAUUUACCACCCCCCCAAAAAAAGAAGAAGAAGAAACCCGCGAAGCAGCGUUUGAAAUUUCGCAAUGGCUUUUCAAAACGUCCAAUUAACGGCCUCCAUAUUCAAACGUUUGACCCAAAAUACGGCUUGCUGCUGGAGAAUUUAGGCGAUUUUGUGUUAAAGUUCCGCGUAGAUGUUUUGGAAAGCGGUUAAAAUCCCCUUUAAGCCACAGUUGUAAACACAAGGUGGCGGUAAUACACCUCAAAGCUGUUUGACAACGGUCCUUAAGGGAAAGAAGAAGACUCGCGCUGGUAAAUCAACCAGCCACGUGUUUUGAAAUGAAAAAAUCUGUUACUCGAAAAGCAGACCUCAGUAACUACAAGGAACUUCUCUCAAAGGAGUAGAAAAAUGCGUUUACUAGCAGCCAUGGUGGAUUUCGCUGAAUGGAUUAUGCACCCCUUCGGUUUCAACUUGGAGUGCAAGUCUAGAGCCUGGAAGCGAAAGAAAAAUCUGUGAAGAUUCAAAGGCGUGAACUGGAAUGUCUUCAUCUCCAAAGGACACAAGAUUGAAGGUAACACUGGGAACAGGAUGUUUUUAGUCCAGAAUGCAUCCUGCUCACAAGUGUUCAUAGAUUGGGUUAAAGAAGUCCAUUGCUGAGUCCUCCUGUUUCCUGCAGGCUUCCAGCCUUCCUUUUAAAUCCUGCCAUCUGUGAGCAGUUCAUAUAGCCCAGGUGACUGGACCACCAUGCUGCACAGAUGUUGAAGUCGUGAUUCAGAGCAACGUAUCUGAGGUUCUGGUCAACAUGAACGACUUCAGGAAGAUUCAAGCUCAAUACUUUUCAGCUUUGCUGCAUUUUUUGUUUAGUUUUUUUGUUUGUGUCCUGUGUCAAAUCUGUCGCUUCUAUAACAAGACAUUUUCUGAAGGUAAUAAACAGUAAUACAUUUGCUAAAUACCAUGUUGGCAACAGCUUUUGUUAAUGUGACAUUGUAAUCCUUUGAGCCCCACCAGUCGCAUCUCGCUGUUCUUCUCUUGGUGUUUUUGUGGCGGUGACAGUUUGUCAGAGGGGAUUGCAGGUUCAGGGGAUUGUCUUGCAUCAGCGACCACUGCAUUUAAACGUUUGCAUUUUGCUUUUGUCAGCCAGACAGGUUUCAUAAUGCAGGAAUGCUUUUGGUUGGGAGUAUAUUGGGAUUGUGAUGAAUGCACUUCACAAGAAAUGCUGCAAGCAAAAAUAAUGUUGCAGGGUGAUAAAACAAUUUAAAUAUUUUAGUGAGGAACAAAAAAUGACAAAAUCAAUGAUAGACAUGUUUUAAAAUUCAAUAAGACAGUAUGUAGGUCCACCAUUUUUACAAGAUGGAGAAGAAAUUUCGAUGAAUAAACUGGAUUUUUCUUGAACAGAAGAGCAAAUGGGUUUGUACAACAAUAUAUUGCUACUAGAGAAGGAAUCAUUUUUACUUCUUCACAUGUAAUCCAUAAUGUCCCACAAUGCUUAACAGAACAGUGUUUAUGGCAAGUUUUAUAAAAUGAAAUCUCUGUUAUUAAGUUUUAAUUCUUUCAGUUUGUAUUGAAACAUAUUCUAUAUUUGAAACUGUAUCGUGAUAUUUAUUAAAUUCAAUUAAUACAUUGAAAAAAAAAUCUUUUCUCCCUAUCAGCCAGCUCUAAUUCCACUUCUUACCUGCAAGAACACAUGCACUGUGUCGUUACUAAGAAAACCUGAAGAAACCAAUAAAAGGCGACAGAUUAUUUUUGUAACCGAAACACUUUUUUUUUUUUUUUCGGUUCUGAUGUGAUGACACAGUUGCGAGGUUCCUGGGAUAAUUAGAUUUUCUUUGUAAAAUGUGCAUGUCUCUCCUAAGGCCCAUUUUUAUAACACUUUAAUGACAUGUUUUUGGCUAGUUUCUAGAUCUAUAACCAAUGAGAUGAACUCUGGAAAUUGUAAUAAACUCCUUCAGACAUCUA